UACGUAGGGUGCAAGCGUUAAUCGGGAUUACUGGGCGUAAAGCGUGCGCAGGCGGUUUUGUAAGUCAGAUGUGAAAUCCCCGGGCUUAACCUGGGAACUGCGUUUGAAACUACAAGGCUAGAGUGUGGCAGAGGGGGGUGGAAUUCCACGUGUAGCAGUGAAAUGCGUAGAGAUGUGGAGGAACACCGAUGGCGAAGGCAGCCCCCUGGGUUAACACUGACGCUCAGGCACGAAAGCGUGGGGAGCAAACAGG
rnacentral:rRNA from 1 species